rnacentral:rRNA from 1 species
GUGAGGAAUAUUGCGCAAUGGAGGCAACUCUGACGCAGCCAUGCCGCGUGCAGGAAGAAGGCGCUACGCGUUGUAAACUGCUUUUAACCGGGAAGAAACCCCAGGACGUGUCCUGGGUUGACGGUACCGGAGGAAUAAGCACCGGCUAACUUCGUGCCAGCAGCCGCGGUAAUACGAAGGGUGCAAGCGUUAUCCGGAUUCAUUGGGUUUAAAGGGUGCGUAGGCGGAGCGUUAAGUCAGUGGUGAAAUCCUGCAGCUUAACUGUAGACUUGCCAUUGAUACUGGCGCGCUUGAGUGCGCUUGAAGGGGGCGGAAUGUGCCGUGUAGCGGUGAAAUGCUUAGAUAUGGCACAGAACACCAAUUGCGAAGGCAGCUCACUAAGGCGAUACUGACGCUGAGGCACGAAAGCGUGGGGAUCGAACAGGAUUAGAUACCCUGGUAGUCC